rnacentral:tRNA from 1 species
AAGGAAUUAUGAUAAUGAAACAGCUGCUAACUGAAUUCUUAAGCGGUUUAAUUCCGUUUGUUCCUUA